rnacentral:lncRNA from 1 species
GCAAGAGGCACGCCGAUCGAGAGAACGAACACCAACUGACCUGCAAACAUUAAAAGAAAGAGCAGCAGCCCGGGAAAGAAAACAGACGACCAAAGAAAGGAGAGAACGUGAAACGUGAAACAGCUGUCAGACAAGAGAUAACCAAACCAAAAGGCCUCCUCGAACCUCAACCACUUCCCCGAUGAAAGGGGAGCCCGGAUAGUCACCAAACCAAACAACCAGCAACCUGACCCGG